rnacentral:rRNA from 1 species
UUUGAAAUCUGGCCUUCGGGUCCGAGUUGUAAUUUGUAGAGGAUGCUUUUGGUGCGGUACCUUCCGAGUUCCUUGGAACAGGACGCCUUAGAGGGUGAGAGCCCCGUACGGUUGGAUACCAAGCCUCUGUAAAGCUCCUUCGACGAGUCGAGUAGUUUGGGAAUGCUGCUCUAAAUGGGAGGUAAAUUUCUUCUAAAGCUAAAUACCGGCCAGAGACCGAUAGCGCACAAGUAGAGUGAUCGAAAGAUGAAAAGUACUUUGAAAAGAGGGUUAAAUAGCACGUGAAAUUGUUGAAAGGGAAGCGUUUAUGACCAGACCUUUGCCUGGCGGAUCAUCCGGUGUUCUUCACCGGUGCACUUCGCCUGGCUUAGGCCAGCAUCGAUUUUCGUUAGGGGACAAAGACCGCGGGAACGUGGCUCCCUCCGGGGAGUGUUAUAGCCCGCGGUGUAAUACCCUUACGGGGAUCGAGGUUCGCGCUCUGCAAGGAUGCUGGCAUAAUGGUCAUCAACGACCCGUCUUGAAACACGGACCAAGGAGUCGAACAUUUAUGCGAGUGUUUGGGUGUUAAACCCUCACGCGUAAUGAAAGUGAACGGAGGUGAGAGCCCUUUCAGGUGCAUCAUCGACCGAUCCUGAUGUCUUCGGAUGGAUUUGAGUAAGAGCAUAACUGUUCGGACGC